ensembl:lncRNA
GCUGGAAGGUGCUCCACCUGGAGACUGUCCUGCUGGGAGACUUCAAUGCUCAUGUGGGUAACAACAGCGAGACCUGGAGGGGCGUGAUUGGGAGGAAUGGCCUCCCUGAUCUGAACCUGAGCGGUGUUUUGUUAUUGGACUUCUGUGCAAAUCACAGUUUGGCCAUAACAAACACCCUGUUCGAACAUAAGAGUGUCCAUAAGUGCACGUGGCACCAGGACACUCUAGGCCGCAGGUCGAUGAUCGAUUUUGUAAUCGUAUCACCAGACCUGCGACCAUAUGUUCUGGACACUCGGGUAAAGAGAGGGGCUGAGCUGUCAACUGAUCACCACCUGGUGGUGAGUUGGAUCAGGUGGCGGGGGAGGACGCUGGACAGACCCGGUGCACCUAAACGCGUAGUGAGGGUGUGCUGGGAACGUCUAGCAGAUGCCCCAGUCCGCGAGAUCUUCAACGCACACCUCCGGCAGAGCUUCAACAGCAUUCCGAGGGAGACUGGGGACAUUGAGUCCGAAUGGACCAUGUUCAGCGUCUCCAUUGCCGAAGCUGCUGCAUUGAGCUGCGGCCGCAAGGUGGUUGGUGCCUGGACACCAGAGGUGAAGGGAGCCACCAGGCUGAAGAAGGAGUCCUAUCGGGCUUGGUUAGCCUGUGGGACUGUGGGAUCAGUUCUUUCGGUCACUACCGAAAGAACGAGAUCGCAGAUACAAGCGGCAGAAAUGAGUUUCCUCCGAAGGGUGGCUGGCCUCUCCCUUAGAGAUAGGGUGAGAAGUUCGGCCAUCCGGGAGAAGCUCAGAGUAGAGCUGCUGCUCCACAUCAAAAGGAGCCAGCUGAGGUGGUUCGGGCAUCUGACAAGGAUGCUUCCUGGGCGCCUCCUGGGUGAGGUGUUCCGGGCAUGUCCCACCGGGAGGAGGCCCCGGGGCAGACCCAGGACAUGCUGGAGAGAUUAUAUCUCUCGGCUGGCCUGGGAAUGCCUUGGUGUUCCCCCGGAUAAGCUGGAGAAGGUGGCUGGGGAGAGGGAGGUCUGGGCCUCUCUGCUUAGGCUGCUCCCCCCGCGACCCGGCCUCGGAUAAAGCGGAUGAAGAUGGAUGGAUGGAUGGAU